GACGAACGCUGGCGGCGUGCCUAAUACAUGCAAGUAGAACGCACAGUUUAUACCGUAGCUUGCUACACCAUAGACUGUGAGUUGCGAACGGGUGAGUAACGCGUAGGUAACCUGCCUGGUAGCGGGGGAUAACUAUUGGAAACGAUAGCUAAUACCUCAUAAUAUUGAUUAUUGCAUGAUAAUUGAUGGAAAGAUUCUAUUGCAUCACUACCAGAUGGACCUGCGUUGUAUUAGCUAGUAGGUGAGGUAACGGCUCACCUAGGCGACGAUACAUAGCCGACCUGAGAGGGUGAUCGGCCACACUGGGACUGAGACACGGCCCAGACUCCUACGGGAGGCAGCAGUAGGGAAUCUUCGGCAAUGGACGAAAGUCUGACCGAGCAACGCCGCGUGAGUGAAGAAGGUUUUCGGAUCGUAAAGCUCUGUUAUAAGAGAAGAACGGGUGUGAAAGUGGAAAGUUCACACUGUGACGGUAUCUUACAAGAAAGGGACGGCUAACUCCGU
rnacentral:rRNA from 1 species